rnacentral:rRNA from 1 species
GACGAACGCUGGCUGCGUGCUUAACACAUGCAAGUCGAACGAAGUGGCGAACGGGUGAGUAAUACGUGGGUAACCUGCCCUUCUUUUUGGGAUAAGCCUUGGAAACGAGGUCUAAUACCGAAUAUAGGGGGAUGGGCUCGCGGCCUUUCAGCUUGUUGGUGGGGUGAUGGCCUACCAAGGCGGUGACGGGUAGCAGGACUGUGAGGGUGACCGGCCACAUUGGGACGGAGAUACGGCCCAGACUCCGACGUGAGGCAGCAGUGGGUGAUAUUGCACAAUGUGCGAAAGCCUGAUGCGGCGACGCCGCGAUGGGGAUGAAGGCUUUCGGGUUGUAAACCUCUUACGCUAUCGAGCGGGUAGGUGGAGAAGAAGCGCCGGCUAACUACGUGCCAGCAGCCGCGGUAAUUC